rnacentral:rRNA from 1 species
GACGAACGCUGGCGGCGUGCUUAACACAUGCAAGUCGAGCGGUAAGGCCCUUUCGGGGGUAUACGAGCGGCGAACGGGUGAGUAACACGUGAGCAACCUGCCCUUCUCUUUGGAAUAAGCGUUGGAAACGACGUCUAAUGCCGAAUAUGACCCCCUGUCGCAUGGUGGGGGGUGGAACGCUCUGGCGGAGAAGGAUGGGCUCGCGGCCUAUCAGCUUGUUGGUGUGGGUAAUGGCCCACCAAGGCGACGACGGGUAGCCGGCCUGAGAGGGUGACCGGCCACACUGGGACUGAGACACGGCCCAGACUCCUACGGGAGGCAGCAGUGGGGAAUAUUGGACAAUGGGCGAAAGCCUGAUCCAGCAACGCCGCGUGAGGGAUGACGGCCUUCGGGUUGUAAACCUCUUUCAGCAGGGACGAAGCGAGAGUGACGGUACCUGCAGAAGAAGGACCGGCCAACUACGUGCCAGCAGCCGCCGUAA